UCAACACCAGACAUGGUCAUAAUUCCGGCUCCCCGCUCACUUGAUCGCUCUUUUGAACCGGUGUCCUCAAUUUACGGUGUUCCAACCUAGUUAUACGAAGAAGAGAAGGUUCUGUCGAUUUUCAAUCUAUCUCACUAUCGUUUGUCUUUCUGUAUUUUAUUCAUUCAUCAUUCCGUUCAUGUUUAAGAUUGAGAUUUUCUUUUAUAAUCGACAUUGAUUAAACCCUAAAAUGAGUGAACUCCACGAGAAGGUCGUGAUGCUCUUGUAGGAGAGUUAGAACCUGCAGAUAGAUAAGGGUUAGAGAACUCCCCUUUCAAGGUUUUAAUCUAUCGCCGUUGCACCGACGAUUAUCCAGUAACAAGAGAAGGCGAGAGUAUUUGUAGAAGAAGGCAAUCAUGGAAGCCGCGAGAAUAGAGAAAAUCGAUCACGGAGGUUGGAGGAUUCCAAAAUGACAUACUUCGUUUUGAACUUUAAAGCGUUCAGAACGAUAUCAUUGGAUCUCAUUCUGUUGAAUCUGCACAGCAAUUGGUAUAUAGAUUAUAUUGUUUCAUAUAUUGAUUAGUAAUAAAUAUAAACGUGUUCUUAGGUUAACAUCUCUACGUAUGUGCACGCUUCUUUCUUAGGUGAAUAAGGUGAAGGAGGAGAUGAAGAGGAUAGUGCUUAUAAACACCUAUGGCUCAAGUUUUUCCAUGAGAAUGGAACUUGAUACUCAGAUUAUGUCCAAAAGCAACUAGAGAAUCUUGGUGCUCAACGAGUAUGGAUUAAAGACAUGUUUAAAGAGAUGAAGAUGAAGGCCCAAAAUGAUGAGUUUGCUACUGUGUUUAACCUUGAAGAUUUUAAGGGU